GUGUAAUCAACCUUUGCCUUAUGAAAGAGCAUAUGAUGAGCUGAUUAUUGUCUCCUUGUUUUAAUAUUUGAAUGCAAGGAUAGAACUCUUCAAUGGUAAAGGCGGUUUGGUAGAGGGUUCUAUAGAGAGAGUCGAUCGCACGGGAAUUGAUUUUGUGGCAAUUAAGGAUCAAGUAGUUGUACAUCCUCAUGAACCACAAUGGGAUGUAUAUGCUGCUUUCGGUACACUGAAGGGUGGUAGGGCUGACUGGCUUGUUGAGAAGUGCACUGAGCUUGGAGCCAGUAGUGUAACCCCACUUUUGACAGAACGUUCUCUUUCGAUAUCAGAAAAUCGAGUUGACAGGUUGCAGAGAGUGAUCGUAGCUGCAACGAAACAAUGUAAGCUCCUAUUAUCCUGAAAUCUUUGAUUGUAUCAGGGGUAUUAAAACCAGUAUAAUUCAUGGUUCUUUUUGUUAUAUCCUCCGCCCCUUUAUCUACACUUUCCAUUUUGGAUCGUCCCAUUCUAAUACUUCUCUUCAAUAAUUCUCUCUGUAACCCUUUUCAAUUUUUUUAUUACUA